GAGAGAAAUGUGAUAGAUAUUCUACUGCAGAGGAGAGAUUACGCGUCUUACAACCUAUUUCAUCUUCUUACAACCUAUUUCAUCAUUACUGAGCGCGCGCUAGAGCAAGAGUGAGAGAGACAGAGUGGAAAAAAUAGACUCUCCUGAUCCCCCACCACCUCCCACCCCCACCCGCCCCCUCCUUCCUCACUGCCACCCCAAAGUCCUCUUCCCUCCCUCUUUUGUCUGUCAUUCCCUCUCUCGAGACCUUCGGUCCCUUUAUCUUGUGGAAGCUUUCAAACUCGUCCCUCCGGAUCCCUGGCGCGUGCCUACACACGGAGCUCGACACUCACUGCGAUGAAAACCCAACACCGAUGGGCUUGAUGUAGACACCAGGCUGCUGCAACACCUUGUCCAGCGUGG